AGAGAGAGAGAGAGAGAGAGUAUCCAACCAGAAAUGGGGUUUUCUCCUUGAAAGACAUUUUGAUUUGGCAUUUGAGUUUUCUGUGGAAAAAAAAAAGUGUAACAUUGGCAAUAAAUUCAGCGUCUGUCUCAAAAUUUAGUUGCUGACUUUUUAUAAUCUUAAGCUUUUCAGUCAUUUUCAUCCUGGAUGGUCACGUUAAGUAUUUUGUUUGCUGAAUAUACCUUAAUGGUCGUGGAUUCUACUGUCUUCAAAGGACCAACUAAUAGCAAUUUUGAUAUGUGCAAUUAUAAGGUUAUGAAAUCCUGUAAUGUACAUUUAUAAAAAUUGAUGUAAUUCUAAAAUAAUUCUAUCAGCAAGUGUUUGGCACUGUUCUAAUGUUUACCAUUUUGCAUUUU
rnacentral:misc_RNA from 1 species